GCUAUAGAUCCGUCUAACACUGAUCACCAACAGUUAAAGAUCAGCAGUAAGUGAGUGUAUCUCCACUUUCACUUAUCAAAGAGUACACGGGAAGCUGUCAAAUAACUCUGUUAUUUCUGCUAUUUUGUCCCGUACAUUCGUAAGGAAGCACAGUCAGCAAUGCGAUAUAUUCUCCUAGCUGUGGUGGUCCUAAUGAUACUGGUGGACCAAACCAAUGGCUUACGAUGCCAACGGUGCAAAGCCCAGAAAUGUGUGAAGCCUAGGGGAUGCAUAAGAAGGGACUACGUAAAAGACCUCUGCAAUUGCUGUGAUGUAUGUCCCAUUGAAUUCGGGCAACCUUGCUCUGGACUGAAACCAAAGUGCGCAGGGAAUAUGUGGUGUAUCAAGAUUGAGGAGAAUCACGCCGAGGCCAGGAAGAACUUAGUUUGGAGUGACAGAUUCCGUGGUGUGUGUGGAAGAAUUAGACUCCCAAGAAUGCAAAGACCUGCUUGGUAAAGUUGAAUCCAGUUCUUGGGCAAUAUGGAAGGACCGUCUUACCAUGUAAACAACACACUACUAAAUAUUGAACGAAAAUAUUCAGUAAACUAUUUGAGAAUCUCUCAA
rnacentral:lncRNA from 1 species